rnacentral:tRNA from 23 species
GGGGUCGUAGCUCAGUUGGUAGAGCGCGUCGUUCGCAAUGACGAGGUCAGGGGUUCGAUUCCCCUCGGCUCCACCA